rnacentral:rRNA from 1 species
GAUGAACGCUGGCGGCGCGCCUAACACAUGCAAGUCGAACGAGUAAGACGCCUUCGGGCGUGGAUAGAGUGGCGAACGGGUGAGUAACACGUGACCAACCCGCCCCCUCCUCCGGGACAACCUCGGGAAACCGAGGCUAAUACCGGAUACUCCGGGCACCCCGCAUGGGAUGCCCGGGAAAGCCCUGGCGGGAGGGGAGGGGGUCGCGGCCCAUCAGGUAGACGGCGGGGUAACGGCCCACCGUGCCCGCAACGGGUAGCCGGGCUGAGAGGCGGAUCGGCCACAUUGGGACUGAGACACGGCCCAGACUCCUACGGGAGGCAGCAGUGGGGAAUUUUGCGCAAUGGGGGCAACCCUGACGCAGCGACGCCGCGUGCGGGACGAAGUCAUUCGUGACGUAAACCGCUUUCAGCGAGGAAGAACCAUGACGGUACUCGCAGAAGAAGCCCCGGCUAACUACGUGCCAGCAGCCGCGGUAACAC